rnacentral:rRNA from 1 species
AACGAACGCUGGCGGCAUGCCUAACACAUGCAAGUCGAACGAGACCUUCGGGUCUAGUGGCGCACGGGUGCGUAACGCGUGGGAACCUGCCCUUAGGUUCGGAAUAACUCCCCGAAAGGGGUGCUAAUACCGGAUAAUGUCUUCGGACCAAAGAUUUAUCGCCUUUGGAUGGGCCCGCGUUGGAUUAGCUAGUUGGUAGGGUAAAAGCCUACCAAGGCGACGAUCCAUAGCUGGUCUGAGAGGAUGAUCAGCCACACUGGGACUGAGACACGGCCCAGACUCCUACGGGAGGAAGCAGUGGGGAAUAUUGGACGAUGGGCGAAAGCCUGAUCCAGCAAUGCCGGGUGAGUGAUGAAGGCGUUAGGGUUGUAAAGCUCUUUUACCCGGGAUGAUAAUGACAGUACCGGGAGAAUAAGCUCCGGCUAACUCCGUG